rnacentral:misc_RNA from 1 species
UUCUCAAUUGAUCUUCUUAAUUUCGCUUGAUCCUCAUAUACUUGUCUUUAGAGUUAAUGGAGUCAAUGUUACCUUUCAGCCAUCCUUUUUAAAAGAAUACCGAUUUCUAUAACCAUCAUGUACCGUUCACCUAUCAAACUGCCAUGGUCUACCAAGCAACAAAUGACCAUUGUCCAGAGGCAUCAUAUCACAUAUAAUCUCAUCAUGAUAUCUACCAUGGAAAAAGCAACUAGGGCUUGCUUAGUCACUUUAACUUCU